CGGACGGGUGAGUAACGCGUGGAGAACCUGCCGUAUACUGGGGGAUAACACUUAGAAAUAGGUGCUAAUACCGCAUAAGCGCACAGCUUCGCAUGAAGCAGUGUGAAAAACUCCGGUGGUAUACGAUGGACCCGCGUCUGAUUAGCCAGUUGGCAGGGUAACGGCCUACCAAAGCGACGAUCAGUAGCCGGCCUGAGAGGGUGGACGGCCACAUUGGGACUGAGACACGGCCCAAACUCCUACGGGAGGCAGCAG
rnacentral:rRNA from 1 species